rnacentral:rRNA from 1 species
UACGGAAGGCAGCAGUGGGGAAUAUUGCACAAUGGGCGCAAGCCUGAUGCAGCCAUGCCGCGUGUAUGAAAAAGGCCUUCGGGUUGUAAAGUACUUUCAGUCGUGAGGAAGGUGUUAAGGUUAAUAACCUUAGCAAUUGACGUUAGCGACAGAAGAAGCACCGGCUAACUCCGUGCCAGCAGCCGCGGUAAUACGGAGGGUGCGAGCGUUAAUCGGAAUUACUGGGCGUAAAGGGCACGCAGGCGGUUAAUUAAGUUGGAUGUGAAAUCCCCGGGCUUAACCUGGGAAUGGCAUUCAAGACUGGUUAGCUAGAGUCUUGUAGAGGGGGUAGAAUUCCAUGUGUAGCGGUGAAAUGCGUAGAGAUGCGGAGGAAUACCGGUGGCGAAGGCGGCCCCUGGACAAAGACUGACGCUCAUGUGCGAAAGCGUGGGGAGCAAACGAGGGAUUAGAUA